rnacentral:lncRNA from 1 species
GCAGCUGCAAUUCUGCACAUAAAGGUCUGAGUGCUCUUGAGGUCAUUCUGCCAGUAAUUUCUCUAGUUUCAAUCGGUAUUGUUGCUGCAGCCAAACAAGGUGUCAUCUCAGCAGCUGCAAGAACUACACUGGUUACACUGGCAGUAGUAUGCUUCGCAGCUUCAAGAUGGUUGAGUCACUUCAUUUACAAAACCUUCCAUUACCAUGACUAUAAUCAUGCCCUUCGCUGAAAAAUUUACUUUUCACUGGGCAUUGAAAGUACAGUAUUGGGCAAAUGCAAAUAUGGCAUAUCUAUGUAUAUACAGCAGAGAUUUGAAAACAAUUUCAAUGGAAAAAAAUUAUUAUGAAAUGAAGCGAAGACAAUCUGCAGCUCUUUCAGGCCAAAUGAUAAGUGCAGCAAUGGGGCUGCUGCAUUUUAGUUUUGUACACAGGCAAAGUUCAAGAAUCAAUUUUGUUCAGACAUUACUGAAAGAUCAUCCUGUGUCAUUGAGACAAUUUGGUCUUAAAUAACAUAGUGAAUACAUUUUUAAAAAAGUUAUUAAUUUUAAUUAAAUAUCAUUAGAUAUUAUUAUUAAUAAUAAUUUAAUAGUAUUAAUUAUCAUGCUCAUGAUUGUGAAAAUAAUUUUAAUUAAAUAACACUUAUUUUAUUAUUAUUUGAUGAGGCAUAAUUUUAAUUAUUUUAUUGAGAGAUGAAUAACAAUAUAAACUUAUAAAUAUUAUUAAAAAAUAGCAGAGUAACGAAAUAAAAUAUGAAAAAAAAUUAAAUUAAAAAGUAAACAAUUAUUUGAUAUAUUUUUAAAACUUGAAGGUUUUAUUUAAUAUUUUUUAGAAUUUAAAGGCUCUGUAUAUAGUUUUAUUUGCUAAUUUUAAUAUUGAGCCUCAAAAAAUAUCUAAGCGUUUAUAUGAUUAUUGGUUUAUGGUUUAAGAGUUAAAAUGGAUUUUUUUUUUCUUCUUAAUUUUUUCUUUUACUUUUUUAUAUUUAAAUACAGAAACUCUUUUCCUUUUAUAAUUUUUAUUCAUUUAAUUAUUUCAAAAUUAUUAUUUAUUUUUUAUAUUAUAGUAAUAUAUAAAAUAAUUAUUAAACCGUUAUUUAAUUUUAUUUUAUUUUUAAAAUAAAUUUUCAUUGAAUGUUUAAACUAUUUUUUAAUAUUUAAUAAAAUUUAAUAUAUUUAAUAUAAAAAUAAUUAAAAAAUUAUUUUUUUAAUAUGUGUAAAAAAUUAAAAUGGAUAAAAAUUAUAAUGAAAGACAUAAAAGUUUAUGCAAUUUGAUUUAUUAUAUAUAUAUAAUUUACAUCUCCUAAAAAUAGAAAGAAAGAAAUACCAGCCAUAGUUUUGGUAAACCAAGGGCACCCUCUGUUAAAUCACCCAUAGUUUUCAUUUAAAAAAUGUAUAUAUAAUGUAUAAAACGGUUUUGAAUCAUAAAAGAAAAUUAUAAAUGGUAAUUUUAUUAUUUUUUUAAAAAAAUUUAAAUUGAAAAUUUAAAAAAAUAAAAAAUAUAUAUAGUUUAAAAUAAUUAUUUAUAGCCGUUGAAGACACAUUUUCAAAUAAAUAUAUUUAAUAUCAACGUGGUAAAAUGGUGAAGUUAGAAAGACAUGCACGUUGCUCUUAAAAAAAAAAUAAAAAAAAGAAAGACAUGAACGUUUUUUAUAUUACGCUACGGGAGGGCAUUUAAGUACUUUUCUUUCAUUUUCCUUUUUCAGUUAUUUACAGCAAGUUGGAAAAUAUUAUUUUCCCUUUUUUGCUUUUAUUUCUCCUUUUAACAUCCUUAAAAGCCAACUUGUAAUCUCAAUCAAUUAGAAUUAAAAUAUUAUAUUAAUAUAUAAAAAUUAUUAUGAUAAAAAAUUUUAAUAUUAAAUCUCCAUUUAUUUUAUAUAUUUUUUAAUAUUUAAAAUAUUUAAUUAACUAAAAAUAUUUUUCUCAUUAAAAAAUAAUUUUAUUUUAUUUUUCUAAAAAAAUUUUCACAUUUUAAAAAUUUUAUUAAAAUAUUUAUAUAUAAAUUUAUUAAUAUAUUUUAUUUUUAAAUAAAAAUUAAAUUAUUUUACUGAAAAAUAUUUUUUCAUAAGAAAUAUUUUCUAAUUAUAAGUUAAAAAUAUUUUUCAUUUAUUUUAUAUUAAAUGAGUAUAUAUAUGCUAUUUCCACUCAUUCAUUUUGAUUAAUUACACGUGUACUGAGGCAGUUACAAGUCAAUUUCUCAUUUCUUUCUUUCCCGCCAACUCUCUUCUUCCUGUAUAUAAAGCUGGUCGUAAACUCUUCCUGAUUCAAUGAGAAAAGCUAUUCAUUUGUUCUAGAAUUCUGUUAUCUUUCAUUUUCUCUCUUCUAAUUCGUGUUCAAAUAAGAUACAAUUAAUUUUUCUAUUUCUUCUCUCCCCCAUUUCCCCAAUCCAUGGAAAAUGAAAGCUCAAAGUUUUCUCUUUUCUCUAUGUCCCCGUCUCAGCUGUCCGACUGUCUCUUGCGUUGAACAAUUUAGAGCCUCUAGUUCAGUGAAUGGCCACUUCAGUAACAGCUCCUUUCUUACUCUUUUCCUUUGCUUCCCAUCUCUCUAGCUUCAGCUCUAAAAGAACCAGCCAUGAAAACUAUUAGAACCUCCUCUAUUCCCUCAUUUGCUCACAUCCCAACUUCAUUAGACACAACCCAAUUUACCCAACCCGAAAUCUUGAAUUUCCAGUUUAAUAAGUUACCAACUUCAUCUUUCUCAAGAAUUCAGAGAAAUGUAUCAAACUUCAAGCUUUUCACCACUAUAUCAUCUCCAUCCUCUGUUUCAACAGAAUCCUUUGAACCGCCUGAGCCAGAGUUUGAAGCUGCUACCAGUGGAGAGAAGUUUGACUGGUAUUCUCAGUGGUAUCCAGUUAUGCCAGUUUGUGAUCUGGACAAAAGGGUGCCACAUGCAAAGAAGGUCAUGGGUCUUGAUGUCGUGGUUUGGUGGGAUAGGAAUGAGAGUGCCUGGAAGGUAUUUGAUGAUAAGUGUCCUCAUAGAUUGGCCCCAUUAUCCGAGGGAAGGAUUGAUCAGUGGGGGAGGUUGCAGUGUGUUUACCAUGGUUGGUGCUUCAAUGGCUCUGGAGACUGCAAGCUCAUCCCUCAAGCACCUCCAGAUGGUCCUCCUGUAAGAAAUCCUUAACAAUAGUUUUUUUUUUCUCGUGGCCUAAACCUAUUUUUGCAGUGAUUUCCUUUUUCCAAUAAUAGCAUUGCAAAUAGUCAUUGUCAAUUUGUGAUGGUGCAUACAAUGUUAUUUUCAAUUAAAUUGUGUCCCUUAAAUGUUAACAUAGAUGAAGUAACCAUGUAGAGUGUUUGGUUAGGGUAUUGCUCUUUUUCUUUCUUCUUGCCGAAAUGGGAUUUUAAUUGUCCUUCCAUCUAAUAAUGCAGGUUCACACAUUCAAGAAAGCAUGUAUAGCAGUUUAUCCGAGUACAGUGCAUCAUGAUAUUGUGUGGUUUUGGCCUAACACUGAUCCUCAAUACAAAGAUAUUAUUACGAAGAAAAAACCUCCCUCUAUCCCAGCGUGGGAAGAUCCAUCAUUUACAAAGAUAAUGGGAAACAGAGAUAUUCCUUAUGGGUAAGUGAAGAUAUCAUCUAGGCUUAGGAACAUCUCAAUUUCUGCUCAACAAAUAAUGUAGUAAUCUAUGUUUCUUCCUGUCAUAGUAGAUGCACUUCAGCCUAUUUGCCACAGGUAACACUGAAAAAUUUAGCUUCGACAUAAUAUUUGUCAGAGUUGAUCUGAUUUCUUUGAAGUCUUUAUAACUACAUCUAGGUAAACUGAUUUUUGCAGCAGUUCUGUAAACUCUAUUUGCAUUUUCAGGUAUGAUGUCUUGAUUGAAAAUCUUAUGGAUCCUGCUCAUGUCGCCUAUGCACAUUAUGGAAUAAUUUCAACAAGAAAACCCCAAGGUGGAUAAAAACUUUUGGAUAAGCCUUACCUUAAGUCAUUCUAUUCCAACCUUUUAUGCGUGGUGUGUUUAUGACUCAAACUAAAAUUCGUUCACAGUGAUGGUUGAUAGAGAAGGAGGAAGACCCAUUGAUAUGAGUGUCAAGAAACUAGACAAAGAUGGUUACAUUGGAAAGAUGGAUUGGGGCAGUAGUAAAUUUAUAGCACCAUGCAUAUUUUAUUAUCAUGCUGAUCCUGUGGCAGAUCAAGUUUAUGGAACUGUAUCUUCAUCUCAAUCUAAAAGGGUAAUUGCAUUAUGUUGAUGUACAUCAUAUAUUCCUUUUCACUAGACAAUGAGAAAAACAUAAAAGUUUUUAAUGUCCAAUAACUUUCUAAAUCCAUAAACAUCAGUAAUUGUUUGUGUGAAAAUACAUGCAACAAGAAAUGACCGCUAACUGAUUCUACAUAGAAUUUACCUUUCUCUUUUAUAUAUUUGUAGCUGAGGAGAAUCUAUAAUAUAAUUAUGCAAAUAGAUUGUUUCGUUUGUCUUGUAAAAGAUAACUGGACUUGCUUAUAUUUGCUUUCAUGUCCUUAUCAUUGUGCAUACAGAAUUUCUUUGAUCAGCAACUGUCAACGCAUCAGAGGACGGCUUUAAUUUUUAUUUGCAUCCCAGUUAGUCCAGGCAAUAGCAGAUUGAUAUGGGCCUUUCCAAGAAACUUUGGAGUUUGGAUUGAUAAAAUCAUUCCCCGAUGGAUGUCUCAUGUUGGACAAAACCUGAUUCUGGAUUCAGAUUUGUAUCUUGUUCAUGUGCAGGUGAUUCCAAUAUUCUUCUGUUAGGAGAGUAUACAUUUUCUUUUGCAUCUUGUGAGUUAAUGGGCUAUUAGAAGUUUUUCUGGAAGCAUAUCUUAUAUGAAAAACUUGUAGAUUAAAGUGGAAAGUCACAAUAGAAAGUAUUGUUUAUCACCCGUACUCUUCCAUCUUUUGGUAAAUCCUGGAUGAACAUAAAUUUGUAUGUUCUUGCAACAAGACAACACGACAUUCCACUAUCUAGUGUGCAUUCUCUAUUCAAUUAUUCAUCAGUCCAUUGGAACUCUUUUAACAUAUUUCUACUGCGAAGUUCCUUCCUUCCUUUCUUUUUUGUUCUUCCUCCACUUUCAGUUCUCAUUAAAGUAUUUAAGUUUUACUCUGGGAACUCUUGUAAACUAAGAAAUUUCAGUUUUGUCGUAGCAAAUUCUUUAGUCUGCACCAUAUCAAGUGACUCUUGAAUUCUAUUUGCAGGAGCGUAAGAUCAUGGAUGUUGGCCCUGCCAAUUGGCAAAAGACCUGUUUUGUGCUAACCAAGUCAGAUGCCCUUGUGGUUGGUUUCAGAAGAUGGUUGAACAAGUAUGCUGGUGGUCAAGUUGAUUGGAGAGGGAAGUACAGUGGGGCUCUUCCACCAACUCCUCCUAGAGAACAGCUGAUGGACAGGUGAUAACUGAUAUAACUAGAGUCAAGCUUUACAUAUAGUUGCAUGAACUUGUUCUUAUGUGUAUUUGGUAAUAAAUAUUCAGGUACUGGUCCCAUGUGGUAAACUGUCGCAGCUGCAAUUCUGCACAUAAAGGUCUGAGUGCUUUUGAGGUCAUUCUGCAGGUAAUUUCCCUAGUUUCAAUCGGUAUUGUUGCUGCAGCCAAACAAGGUGCCAUCCCAGCAGCUGCUAGAACUACAGUGGUUGCACUGGCAGUAGUAUGCUUUGCAGCUUCAAGAUGGUUGAGUCACUUUACUUACAAAACCUUCCAUUACCAUGACUAUAAUCACG